rnacentral:rRNA from 1 species
ACUCCUACGGGAGGCAGCAGUGGGGAAUCUUGGACAAUGGGGGCAACCCUGAUCCAGCCAUGCCGCGUGAGUGAUGAAGGCCUUAGGGUCGUAAAGCUCUUUCGCCUGUGAAGAUAAUGACGGUAGCAGGUAAAGAAACCCCGGCUAACUCCGUGCCAGCAGCCGCGGUAAUACGGAGGGGGUUAGCGUUGUUCGGAAUUACUGGGGCGUAAAGCGCACGUAGGCGGAUCGGAAAGUUGGGGGUGAAAUCCCGGGGCUCAACCCCGGAACGGCCUCCAAAACUAUCGGUCUAGAGUUCGAGAGAGGUGAGUGGAAUUCCGAGUGUAGAGGUGAAAUUCGUAGAUAUUCGGAGGAACACCAGUGGCGAAGGCGGCUCACUGGCUCGAUACUGACGCUGAGGUGCGAAAGUGUGGGGAGCAAACAGGAUUAGAUACCCUGGUAGCUACGAG